AGCCGCUCGGCGACAACUUUGGAAAACGCUUGAGGGAGCUGAUCUUUGGAACGCGCGUCUGCUCGACACCUCGACUGUUCUGGUCCCCCUGGGACACCAACACAACAUCCUGACCAUCUUCCUCCUGUCUCCGAUUCGAUCCUAUUUUCUUAUGGCGAAACUCGUCGCAGUCGAAAAGUUUGAAACGCCAGCUAACUACUCUGCUGCCUCGUCAACAACUUUCAACGCUAACUCGACAAACAAAUCGUUCAUCAACAGGAAGUGACCAGAUCAACAAUCAGACAGAUUGAUAGCUACUCUUCUGUUAUCUCAGGAUGUUGAAUACUGGAGGGAAUUGAUGGAAAGAGUGAUCAAAAACCAGUGAUCCAACUAAUAGGGUCUCAUGAAAAAGUCCACCCACGGCCAGCAAAACUCGAAUUCGGAGAUGCAGUCGGCUACUUCACUGAUGAAGAAUUGACACGCAUCAGAGCUCCGAACACAGAAGCUCA